rnacentral:rRNA from 1 species
AUGACUUCUCGUAGUGAGGUGUUGUCUAUUUAUAAGCGUUUUGCUGCCAUGGUUCAUACUCAGUUCUCUUCACCCAAUCGUGUUUUUCGUGUUGACUCCGCUGGCGAGUAUAUCUCUAAGAUGUUGCGUGGUGUUCUUGCUGAGCAAGGAACUCUCUCUCAAUUCUCUUGUCCUGGUGCUCAUGCUCAGAAUGGUGUGGCUGAGCGAAAGCAUCGACAUCUUCUUGAGACGGCUCGUGCAUUGAUGAUUGCUGCCUCUCUCCCGCCUCAUUUUUGGGCUGAGGCCGUCUCCACCUCCACCUAUCUUAUCAAUAUACAGCCUUCCGCUGCUCUACGGGGUGGUGUUCCUUUCGAGCGUCUUUUUGAUCGUUCUCCCGAUUAUUCGAUGCUUCGCUUGUUUGGUUGUGUUUGUUAUGUUCUUCUUGCCCCUCGCGAACGCACCAAAUUGACUGCUCAGUCUGUUGAGUGUGUCUUCUUAGGCUACAGUGAUGAGCAUAAGGGCUAUCGUUGUUGGGAUCCUAUCGGUCGUCGGAUGUGUAUCUCUCGAGAUGUGACUUUUGAUGAGUCUCGUCCCUUCUACCCACGCCCAUCUUCCUUGAUUUUUUCAGUGGAGGAUAUCUCUUUCCUCACUUUUCCUGACUCACCUAUCACCCCCGUCGCGCCUAUGCCUAUUCGUUCCACUCCCUCUGCUUUUCCACCUCUAGUCGAUUUGCAGCCACCAUCUUCUCCGGUCUCCUCGCCUAGCAUGUCACCGGAUUACACACCUUCAUCUCCGGUGACUUCUUCGUCUCCACCCCCCGAUUCUACCUUGGCGAUUCCUCCUUCUAUUGUUCCAUCUUUUCCUCAGCAUUACACUCGUCGUUCACGACCUGUGGAUGCCUUAUUGGAUGAGUCGUCAUCUUCCUCUCAGUCUACUUAUGGCUUGCGUUCUCGUCCUCGUCCGCCUGUUGAUCGUUUUGGAUUUCCCACUGCUGGCGCUGCUGUUCUUGAGCCGACUUCUUAUCGUCAGGCUGUUGUUCAUCCUGAAUGGCAGUUUGCGAUGGUAGAGGAGAUUGCUGCUCUUGAACGCACCGGUACCUGGGAUCUUGUUUCUCUUCCUCCCGGAGUCCGUCCCAUCACUUGUCAGUGGGUCUACAAGGUUAAGACUCGCUCCGAUGGUUCUCUUGAGCGCCACAAAGCUCGUCUUGUGGCUCGUGGUUUUCAGCAGGAGCAUGGUCGUGAUUAUGACAAGACUUUUGCUCCUGUGGCCCAUAUGACCACUGUUCGUACACUUCUUGCCGUUGCCUCUGCACGCCACUGGUCUAUAUCUCAGCUUGAUGUUAAGAAUGCUUUUCUUAAUGGUGAGCUACGUGAGGAGGUGUACAUGCAGCCACCACCUGGGUAUUCUGUUCCUGAUGGCAUGGUAUGUCGUCUUCGUCGCUCUCUCUAUGGCCUUAAGCAAGCCCCCCGUGCCUGGUUUGAGCGUUUUGCCUCUGUGGUCACUACUGCUGGUUUUUCAGCCAGUGCUCAUGAUCCAGCAUUGUUUAUUCACCUUUCUCCUCGUGGUCGGACUCUUCUUCUUCUCUAUGUUGAUGACAUGAUCAUCACAGGGGAUGACCCCGAGUAUAUUGCCUUUGUAAAGGCACGUCUUAGUGAGCAGUUUCUUAUGUCUGAUCUUGGACCUCUUCGCUACUUUCUUGGGAUUGAAGUCUCUUCUACCUCUGAUGGCUUUUUUAUAUCCCAGGAAAAGUAUAUCCAGGAUCUUCUUGCUCGUGCUGCUCUUACUGACGAGCGCACUGUUGGGACUCCUAUGGAGCUCAAUAUUCACCUCCGUGCUACUGAUGGUGAUCCUCUCCCUGACCCGACGUGUUAUCAUCAUCUCGUUGGCAGUCUUUUCUAUCUAGCUGUCACUCGUCCGGACAUCUCUUAUCCGGUUCAUAUUCUGAGUCAGUUUGUCUCUGCUCCCACAUCGGUUCACUAUAGUCAUCUCCUUCAUGUUCUCCGAUAUCUUCGGGGCACGAUCUCCCACCGUCUAUUCUUUCCUAACUCCAGUUCUUUACAGCUUCAGGCCUAUUCGGAUGCUACGUGGGCUAGUGAUCCUUCCGAUCGCCGUUCACUUUCUGCUUACUGUGUUUUUCUUGGCGGUUCUCUCAUUGCCUGGAAGACGAAGAAACAGAUUGCAGUUUCCCGCUCGAGUGCUGAGGCUGAGUAG